UACGGGGGGGGCAAGCGUUGUUCGGAAUUACUGGGCGUAAAGGGCUCGUAGGCGGCCAACUAAGUCGGACGUGAAAUCCCUCAGCUUAACUGGGGAACUGCGUCUGAUACUGGAUGGCUUGGAUUCGGGAGAGGGAUGCGGAAUUCCAGGUGUAGCGGUGAAAUGCGUAGAUAUCUGGAGGAACACCGGUGGCGAAGGCGGCAUCCUGGACCGAUAUUGACGCUGAGGAGCGAAAGCGUGGGGAGCGAACAGG
rnacentral:rRNA from 1 species